ACAAAUACAUUAUUUUAUGGAAAAUUAUUUGAAAACUUCAACACCUUGAAAUUCUGCAUUGAGGGUAAUCACUUAAGAAAAAAACCCUUGCCAUCUUCUAAAAGAAAGUGUAUUUGCUUUUCAAGAGUAUAAUGGGUUUCAUUAGACUUGCAUUUUCCACCAGUAAUCAAGAUUUGGGGAUUGCUAUGUGAUUAUAGCUCUAAUCAAGGAAGAAUGCCAUAAUUAAAGAAUGAAGCUGGUGACAGGCAACGCUGCUCCUUCCUUCCCACUCCGAGCUGGCAAGGUGUGGAAUUUAAAGGAUUCUGUGGAAACAGGAUUUACAUCAUCACGGCAGAAGUAUAAACUGCCAAGUAUCUGAUGUUAGCUAGAGCAGAGCCACUUGUGGUAAAAGAAAUCUCAGUAAUUUAAAAUAAAAUGGCUCAGGCAGAAGUAUUCCUUCAGUGUGUCUACAUCUGUUGUGUUGCGGACACCUUUAAUUCUGUAAGAUUUAAGCAACAGCCUUUCAAUCAUGAGUGAGUAUUAAAUCAUGAGGGCACUUUUCAGAAAAAAAAGAAAGACUGUUAUUUUAAGCGCCAAAACAGUUCCCGGUAUAAAGUCAGCUUUAACAAAGGAGCGCCCCACCUCCAGAAACGUGCCUCAGAGCCACACCUGGGAGCCCUGCACUGAUGUCCCAUGUGGACUUCAUCACGGCUGGGUUUACCUAUCCAGUGGCCUUCAUGUGUCUUCGUUUCUUUGUUAGUUUGUUUUAACAUCAGGUUUUCUGCACAGUGUUCCGGAGAGCCCUGUUGCUAGAUAAGAGGCCUCUGGGUCAGUGGAGGGGCUUUGACAGCCACACCAGCAACUGUCCAGGGAUAGAGUGAGGAGGUGUCCAGAGAUAGCCAAAGCCUAUUGCAAGGAACGAAAUGAGUGAAGAUAAAAGGGACCAGAAUCGCUCAACAUGUGUCUGAAAUAAAUGAAGGGUAACUGAGUAAUGAUUUAAAAUUCUCUAAGAGAAAUGUGGCCAGCCAGUUCCGUUCACAGGGAGGGAAGGGAGAUGAAGACAGUGGGAGAGCUUUGAACCCAAUCCGACGUGAGGCUGUCCCAACAGAGGGAAGCUCAGAGUGGGCGGGGCAAUCACCCACAAAGCAGGGAGGUUUCAUCAUCCGGAGAUUUCAACGCAACACUAGGCAGAGCCACAUCUCAAGGGGACCUGUUGGGUUUGGUCUUCUCCAAGGGAAAAUUUGACACUAACGCUUUCAGCAAGCACAGCGCUGUGGUCUCAAGGCUCAUACUGUCUUAGAUGAAGAUCCUGCAGACGUAUUCUAAGUUACAUAGGACGUGCACCUGCCAGGACUGCUCAGCCUGCCGAGUUCACCACUCCAGGCCCAGCACUUUGCACAGAGCUUGACUCCAAAAACUCUAUUGAAUAAAUUAACAUGGGAACAUUUCAUUCUAGAAAUGAUCUAAAUAAUGAAGGAAGGUGAUCAUUCUCAAGGUAACCUAUUAAAAUUGUGUGUUUUUAAACUGUGGCACCCAUGGUUGAUAUUUUUUAAAGGCACUCCUCUACGUAAGAUACAUUUGGAAUUGUAAAAAUGCCAUAGACUCUUUCAGUGUACAUUAUAAUCUUUUCCAUUUCACAAAUACACUUACUUUAGUUAAUAUGUAUUGGAUCCAGAGAAAUAUUUAAGUUUAUGCCAGCUUUCCAGGGUUGAAAUGAAAACCAGCUUUUACAAAUACAGAUUGGUUUGCUUAACCACAUCCAGCUGUGACCGAGAAUCGACUAGAAUGAGAAUAGAUCAGAAAAAUUAAAAAACGUUUGUUCUGGAAAGUAACUACUGGUUUUAUGAAAAGCUUAUUAGAGCUUGUUAAAAAUGGAUUAUUAAUGAAUAUUUGCACUUUUAUAUUGCUUUCAGUUAACCAGUGUUGGUUGUUCUGGUAAUGAAUUGAAUUCAAUUAAAAUAUUUUUAUUACACAUACAUAUAACUCUUUAGAGUGUAUCAACUGGAAAGAUUAUAUGGAUAUUGUGUGCUUCUAAAGUUUUGAGGUCAUGCGACAUAUUAUAAUAAACAUGAAUUCGGUGCAGGAAUCUUGCCAAGUAUAUGACAAUACUUGGCAGGUUCAUUUCCAAACACUUGUACACCUGGAGUGACCCUAACCUGCAAACUCCAGAAGAAACACAUCCUUCCAGGUAGGAAGGAGUGCCUGGAGGAAGGAGCUUCUAGAGCCCAGGUCCAGCCGGCCGCCCCUCCUCUCAGCUCAGAUGGUCCCUGGGGGUCCACGUUUCCAAGGAGCAGCGUUGAGAACAGCCAGUUCUGAGGUCACCUUGCCCUUGCCUAGGCUGGACACCUGGA
rnacentral:lncRNA from 1 species